GGCAACAUGCCCGAGUGGUUAAGGGGACAGACUUGAACUAAACUGAUCAUUGAUCAGCGCAUUCUGAGGUAUCUGUUGGCUUCGGCCGCGUAGGUUCGAACCCUGCUGUUGUCG
rfam:Colletotrichum sublineola strain TX430BB Scaffolds1445.1, whole genome shotgun sequence.